rnacentral:lncRNA from 11 species
UCUGGUUGGGCCUUUGCGUGUUCAUUCUCUUUGCCGACAUAGAGGUCAUUUACAAGGGGCUACAGCUUCUCUGCAUCCCCAAUCUCUGGAGGGGUUAUAUUCUGAUCAUGAUUGUGGUCCAGUUUGCAGUCGCAGUUUUUGUGGAGGAUGCCCUCCUGGAGAACCGGCGUCUCUGGCUCUGGAUCAAGGCCUUGUUAGGCAUCCGCUCCUCCAGCAAAUACCGGAAGUUGCAGCGGCAGAUGGAGGGAGAGGCCUCUUGGCCUCCGAUGAACCACAGAGAUUUCACAGAGGAUGCAAAAAGAAAUAGAAAAAGCAAGACCUACAUCAACCCUGCCUAUGAAAACAGCGAAGAUGUCUAGCUGUCCGUGAAGGGCUGGAUAGAGGGAUAAGGCCUUGCAAACUUCUUGCCUCAUUGUUACAUGUCUUCAAAUCCUUUCUGACUUAUGGAGACCCCAAAGAGACCCUAUUGCAAGGAUUCCUUGGCAAGGAUUGUCCAGAGGAGGUUGCCUUUGCCUUCUGUUGAGUGGUUGCACCUCUGCUAAAACCGUGGGUUCAACAGCCCAGCAUGUCUAGCUUUCAAGAAGGCCAAACCAGACACAGUCGGGUAGAAGGCAAAAGCAGAGGUUUAUUCUCAAUGGCCAGAGAGGAUGUCGGUGGAGACAACACUCUAAAUUACUGACAUAACACAAUUGCAAAUACAGCGCAUUUUUAUUUCAUUUGACAGCCAUUCAAGAAACCUGCAUCAGCUUCUGAUUGGUUCAAAAACUGUCCUGAGUGGCUGAGGACUUUGUCAGACAUUAUUGCUGUUUGAAUCCAUGUUGUGACAGGAAAUUCAAUAAGCUGCCAUUGGAGCA